CUGYUUYGCUGACGAGUGGCGGACGGGUGAGUAAUGUCUGGGAAACUGCCUGAUGGAGGGGGAUAACUACUGGAAACGGUAGCUAAUACCGCAUAACGUCGCAAGACCAAAGAGGGGGACCUUCGGGCCUCUUGCCAUCGGAUGUGCCCAGAUGGGAUUAGCUWGUWGGUGGGGUAACGGCUCACCWAGGCGACGAUCCCUAGCUGGUCUGAGAGGAUGACCAGCCACACUGGAACUGAGACACGGUCCAGACUCCUACGGGAGGCAGCAGUGGGGAAUAUUGCACAAUGGGCGCAAGCCUGAUGCAGCCAUGCCGCGUGUAUGAAGAAGGCCUUCGGGUUGUAAAGUACUUUCAGCGGGGAGGAAGGGAGUAAAGUUAAUACCUUUGCUCAUUGACGUUACCCGCAGAAGAAGCACCGGCUAACUCCGUGCCAGCAGCCGCGGUAAUA
rnacentral:rRNA from 1 species